UACAGAGGGGGCAAGCGUUGUUCGGAAUUACUGGGCGUAAAGGGCGCGUAGGCGGCCUUCUAAGUCGAACGUGAAAUCCCCGGGCUCAACCCGGGAACUGCGUCCGAUACUGGUAGGCUUGAAUCCGGGAGAGGGAUGCGGAAUUCCAGGUGUAGCGGUGAAAUGCGUAGAUAUCUGGAGGAACACCGGUGGCGAAGGCGGUUCUCUGGGCCUGACCUGACGCUGAGGAGCGAAAGCGUGGGGAGCGAACAGG
rnacentral:rRNA from 1 species